rnacentral:rRNA from 1 species
CUUGAAAAAUUAUAAGAGGUCCAGCCUGCCCAGUGAAAUUAUUUAACGGCCGCGGUACCCUGACCGUGCGAAGGUAGCAUAAUCACUUGUUCUCUAAAUAGGGACUAGUAUCAACGGCAUCACGAGGGUUAUACUGUCUCCUCUUUUUAAUCAGUGAAACUGAUCUCCCCAUGAAGAAGCGGGGAUAAUUAUACAAGACGAGAAGACCCCAUGGAGCUUUAAACCCAAUAACAGCCUACACUAAAUUUUCCUAAAAAUGUAAAAAGCAAUGUUUAUUGGUUUUAGGUUGGGGUGACCACGGAGAAAAAUUAAACCUCCACGAUGAAAGGAUCUUAAUCCUAAUCUAUGAGCUACUACUCCAAGAAUCAACAAUUUGACAUAAUAUGAUCCGAUAACGAUCAACGAACCA